rnacentral:lncRNA from 1 species
AGCCAAUCAGCAGAGAGUGGCAUAAGCAGGCACAAAGAAAUAAGCAAUGACAAGAGACCCCCCCCCUCCAAGGCCAGGACAUAUCUUGGUUCCUUUAAGUUCUUGACUGCAGUCUCCCAUGGGGCCCAGUGGACAUUCUGCACUUAGCUUCCACAAUAUAUCCCCAUUCCCUUCCAAUACAUUCUCUCUUUGUUAUGAAUAAUUUUGAAUGGGAUGCUAAUUCUAGCCACACCAAUCCCUGGUAGGAACAUGGGGAGACCAGGCAGAAUUUGAGACCCAAGCAAGGCAGGAGCUACCACGGGGUAUGAAGGUGGGCCCCCUAUGCAUUCUAGCCUAAGCAAGCCUGGAGCGAGAGAGCAGAAUGAAGAAAGAGUCUGCAAGUUCCCUGAGUAAGGACAGGCCUGGUGAUAGAGCACAAACAGGAGCUCAUAUUCUGGGAGUGGAGAUGGAUCAUCCACAAGAUACUAAGUCAGUGCAGAAGAGACUAUCGGCAGGAUCGUACAGGUUCUGAAGACAACAAAAUAAAAGCAAGGAGAAGAGAUGAGGGGAAGCAGGACCUCACUCCCCUCCUGUCUUCCCUUCUGGCCUUCCUGGUAGCCAUAACCAUGUACAAAUACGUGACCAUGAGAUGUUCCUGCCUGAUGUCCAGUGGCUCAGGGACCACAUCUGGACCUCAUCAAGACACCAUCAGCCCAUCAUCUGAACUUACAGCGCUCAAGGCAGCACUAAAUUCUGGAGAAGUGUGAGAACUCGAACUACUGAGGUCAAAGGAAGUGACACCAAGUGGCAGAGGAGAGUAUCCCAUCCAUACUCUGGGGGAAUGAGUGCUGACAUCAUGAAGCCCCCCUUAAAAAUCCAAGAGGACUGGGUUCCUGGAGCUUCUGGAUAGAUGAAGACGUGGAGUUUUCUAGAGGAUGGUGCACCCAGGGAGGGCAUGGAAGCUCUGUGCCCCUUUCCCCAUACCUCACCCUAUGUGUCUCUUCAUCUGUAUCCUUUGCAAUAUCCUUUAUAAUAAACAAGUAAAUGUAAGUAAGUGUUUCCCUGAGUUCUGAGAGCCACUCUAGCAAAUUAAUCAAACCCAAAGAGGGGAUCAUGGGAACAACUUGAAGCCGGUCAGUCAGAAGUUCCAGAGUCCCAGACUUGAGGCUGGUGUGUGUGUGUUGAGUAGGAGAAGUCUUGGGGACUGAGCCCUCAAAUUGUGGGAUCUGACAUUAUCUCUGGUUAGAUAAUGUUGCAACUAAAUUAGAGGACACCCAGCUGGUAUCUGCUGCUUGAUGUUUGCAGAAAAAAAACCCACACAUUUGAUCACGGAAGUCUUCUGUGUUGGUUGUUAAUAUGGUGUGAGACUAGAGGGGAAAUGUGGUUAUAGAGAAUUUUCCAUCUACACCAUCUCAUAGAGCUGUUGUUGGGGUCAGCUGCUUUGGUACAUGCCAAGUGCUAAGUAUCAGCUUUCACUGUUCACAAAAUUAACAGUUUUGUAAAUGCUUUGGGUAAAAAUAAGGUGAUGAACUUUCAAAAAUGUGAAUUUCUUCUGCUUUUUAAGCAUUUAAGAAACUGUAAUAUUUGACUUCUGAUUUUAAUCAAAUGCUUAAAAGUACAAUUUUUCAACAAUUAGUAAGAAUUUACAUAAAUUUAACUAAACUCUUAGGCUUCAAAUUUCUAUUGUUUUAUUUAUUUAGAGAAUGUUUAAAGGAGCAAUCAUUAAAGGAAGGGA